rnacentral:rRNA from 1 species
UACGGAGGGGGCUAGCGUUGUUCGGAAUUACUGGGCGUAAAGCGUGCGCAGGCGGUUAUGUAAGACAGAGGUGAAAUCCCCGGGCUCAACCUGGGAACUGCCUUUGUGACUGCAUGACUAGAGUACGGCAGAGGGGGAUGGAAUUCCGCGUGUAGCAGUGAAAUGCGUAGAUAUGCGGAGGAACACCGAUGGCGAAGGCAAUCCCCUGGGCCUGUACUGACGCUCAUGCACGAAAGCGUGGGGAGCAAACAGG